rnacentral:rRNA from 1 species
UACGAACGGGACUAGCGUUGUUCGGAAUCACUGGGCGUAAAGCGCACGUAGGCGGAUUUGUAAGUCAGGGGUGAAAUCCCGGGGCUCAACCUCGGAACUGCCUUUGAUACUGCGAAUCUUGAGUCCGAUAGAGGUGGGUGGAAUUCCUAGUGUAGAGGUGAAAUUCGUAGAUAUUAGGAAGAACACCGGUGGCGAAGGCGGCCCACUGGAUCGGUACUGACGCUGAGGUGCGAAAGCGUGGGGAGCAAACAGG